CCUUUUCUUGGUGGGGGUCAAAGGGGGUCCCCAUUCCCAGAAUGUACUAAGGAAGAGGGAAAGGGCUCUGACCCCCUCCAUACUAUGUCUUUCAGUCCACCAGUUAUAUCCUCAAGUGCCAAGACACGG